rnacentral:sRNA from 1 species
UUUGUCAACGGUAAUCGCAGGGAGGGCUGUUUUCCCGACCGAGAAUUAAGGAGUUGACAAACUCGCCACA